UUCUUCCUAAUUUAGGAAGUAAGGCCUGCUCACUGAAGUUUAAAGAGCCGCAGUAUUUUAACUGUGCUAAGGUAGCAUAAUCAUUAGUCUUUUAAUUGGAGACUGGUAUGAAGGGUUUAACGAGAAAUUAACUUUUUUUAUAGAUAAAUUUGAAUUUAAUUUUUAAGUUAAAAAGCUUAAAUUUUUUAGAAAGACGAGAAGACCCUAUAGAGUUUGAUACAAGAUUAUAUUUUAUUUAAUUAGAUUUUAAGAAUUAAAUAGUGAAAUUGUUUUUUGUUGGGGCGACAUUUAGAUAUCUAAAACUCUUAAUUUUUAAAACUGGGAUACCAGAAUUUUUGAUCCUUUAGAAAAGAUUAAAAGAAAAUUACCUUAGGGAUAACAGCGUAAUCUUUUUUGAGAGUUCUAAUCGACAAAAAGGUUUGCGACCUCGAUGUUGGACUAAAAUUUGCUUAAGGCGCAGGAGUUUUAAGGCAAGGUCUGUUCGACCUUUAAAUUUUUACGUGAUCUGAGGUUUCAGACCG
rnacentral:rRNA from 1 species